rnacentral:rRNA from 2 species
UGGGGAAUAUUGCACAAUGGGCGGAAGCCUGAUGCAGCAACGCCGCGUGAAGGAUGAAGGUUUUCGGAUCGUAAACUUCUGUCCCUGGGGAAGAAGAAAGUGACGGUACCCAAGGAGGAAGCCCCGGCUAACUACGUGCCAGCAGCCGCGGUAAUACGUAGGGGGCGAGCGUUAUCCGGAAUUACUGGGCGUAAAGAGUGCGUAGGUGGCCAUGCAAGCGCGAAGGGUCUAAGGCUACGGCCUAACCGUAGUUCGCCCCGCGAACUGCGUGGCUUGAGUACAGGAGGGGAAAGCGGAAUUCCUAGUGUAGCGGUGAAAUGCGUAGAUAUUAGGAGGAACACCGGUGGCGAAGGCGGCUCUCUGGACUGAAACUGACACUGAGGCACGAAAGCGUGGGUAGCAAACAGG